rnacentral:ncRNA from 1 species
CCUUAUCGAGAGCGGCGGAGGGAAUAGGCCCUGUGAUGCCCGGCAACCUGGUGGGAUUUUGACGGAUGACUCCGGUUCUUCGCAGAAUUCUGUACAAGGUGCUACAUCCUACAGAAGUUAGUUCUGAAAGAUGAGG